rnacentral:rRNA from 1 species
UACGUAGGGGGCUAGCGUUGUCCGGAAUCAUUGGGCGUAAAGCGCGUGUAGGCGGUCCGGUAAGUCCGCUGUGAAAGUCGAGGGCUCAACCCUCGAAUGCCGGUGGAUACUGUCGGGCUCGAAUCCGGAAGAGGUGAGUGGAAUUCCUGGUGUAGCGGUGAAAUGCGCAGAUAUCAGGAGGAACACCAAUGGCGAAGGCAGCUCACUGGGACGGUAUUGACGCUGAGACGCGAAAGCGUGGGGAGCGAACAGG